CAGAGGGGGACUGAGACACGGCCCCCACUCCUACGGGAGGCAGCAGCAGGGAAUCUUGCACAAUGGGCGAAAGCCUGAUGCAGCGACGCCGCGUGAGGGAUGAAGGUUUUAGGAUCGUAAACCUCUUUUCUUAGGGAAUAGUUUGGAAGGUACCUAAGGAAUAAGUCACGGCUAACUACGUGCCAGCAGCCGCGGUAAUACGUAGGUGGCAAAUGUUGUCCGGAAUCAUUGGGCGUAAAGGGUCCGUAGGUGGCAUAAAAAGUCUUAUGUGAAAUCUCUUGGCUCAACCAAGAAACGCCAUAAGAAACUUUUAUGCUAGAGAUCAUCAGAGGGAGGUAGAAUUCCAGGUGUAGUGGUGAAAUGCGUAGAUAUCUGGAGGAAUACCAAUGGCGAAAGCAGCCUCCUGGGGUGAAUCUGACAUUGAGGGACGAAAGCGUGGGUAGCAAACCGGAUUAGAUACCCGGGUAGUCCAUGCCGUAAACGAUGAAUACUGGGUCUUCGGGGAAUCGACCCCCUGUGGACCGAAGCUAACGCGUUAAGUAUUCCGCCUGGGGAGUACGGUCGCAAGACUAAAACUCAAAGGAAUUGACGGGGGCCCGCACAAGCAGCGGAGCGUGUGGUUUAAUUCGAUGGUAAACGAAGAACCUUACCUAGGUUUGACAUAUAAGUAGUACUGACCCGAAAGGUGAUGGACCCGCAAGGGAGCUUAUACAGGUGCUGCAUGGUUGUCGUCAGCUCGUGCCGUGAGGUGUUGGGUUAAGUCCCGCAACGAGCGCAACCCUCGUGGAUAGUUGUUUUCUUUAUCCAGACUGCUUUUACAAGAGGAAGGUGGGGAUGACGUCAAAUCAUCAUGGCUCUUACACCUAGGGCUACACACACGCUACAAUGGACAGUACAGACGGUUGCUAAGUCGCAAGAUGGAGCCAAUCCGAUAAAGCUGUCCCCAAUUGGGAUUGUAGGCUGAAACUCGCCUGCAUGAACCUGGAGUUGCUAGUAACCGUAGAUCAGCAUGCUGCGGUGAAUACGUUCCCGGGCCUUGUACACACCGCCCGUCACGUCAUGGAAGUUUGAAACACUUGAAGUCGCUGGGCUUACCUUUUAGGAGGCAGGCGCCGAGAGUGGGGCAAAUGACUGGGACGAAGUCGUAACAAGGUAGCUGUACCGGAAGGUGCG
rnacentral:rRNA from 1 species